rnacentral:rRNA from 1 species
GAUGAACGCUGGCGGCGUGCCUAAUACAUGCAAGUCGAGCGAACAGACGAGAGUGCUUGCACUCUCUGACGUUAGCGGCGGACGGGUGAGUAACACGUGGGUAACCUACCUAUAAGACUGGGAUAACUUCGGGAAACCGGAGCUAUUACCGGAUAAUAUUUAGCUUCGCAUGAAGCAAUAGUGAAAGACGGUUCUGCUGUCACUUAUAGAUGGACCCGCGGUGUAUUAGCUAGUUGGUGAGGUAACGGCUCACCAAGGCAACGAUACAUAGCCGACCUGAGAGGGUGAACGGACAAACUGGGAAUGAGACACGGCCCAGACUCCUACGGGAGGCAGCAGUAGGGAAUCUUCCGCAAUGGACGAAAGUCUGACGGAGCAAUGCCGCGUGAGUGAAGAAGGUUUUCGGAUCGUAAAACUCUGUUGUAAGGGAAGAACAAGUACGUUAGUAACUGAACGUACCUUGACGGUACCUUACCAGAAAGCCACGGCUAACUACGUG